AUACGGAGGAUCCGAGCGUUAUCCGGAUUUAUUGGGUUUAAAGGGUGCGCAGGCGGCCAUUUAAGUCAGCGGUUAAAUCGUGGGGCUCAACCCCAUUCUGCCGUUGAUACUGGGUGGCUUGAUUGCGGUCGAGGUUGGCGGAAUUCGUUGUGUAGCGGUGAAAUGCAUAGAUAUGACGAAGAACACCGAUUGCGUAGGCAGCUGACCAGACCGCAAAUGACGCUCAUGCACGAAAGUGCGGUGAUCGAACAGGAUUAGAUACCCUGGUAGUCCGCACAGUAAACGAUGAAUACUUGUUUUCGGCGAUAUAAUGUCGGAGGCAAAGCGAAAGCGAUAAGUAUUCCACCUGGGGAGUACGCCGGCAACGGUGAAACUCAAAGGAAUUGACGGGG
rnacentral:rRNA from 1 species